rnacentral:rRNA from 1 species
GUGGGGAAUAUUGGACAAUGGGCGCAAGCCUGAUCCAGCCAUGCCGCGUGUGUGAAGAAGGCCUUCGGGUUGUAAAGCACUUUUGUCCGGGAAGAAAUCUUCCAGGUUAAUACCCUGGGAGGCUGACGGUACCGGAAGAAUAAGCACCGGCUAACUUCGUGCCAGCAGCCGCGGUAAUACGAAGGGUGCAAGCGUUACUCGGAAUUACUGGGCGAAAAGCGUGCGUAGGUGGUUCGUUAAGUCUGCCGUGAAAGCCCCGGGCUCAACCUGGGAAUGGCGGUGGAUACUGGCGGGCUAGAGUGCGGUAGAGGGUGGUGGAAUUCCCUGUGUAGCAGUGAAAUGCUUAGAGCUCGGGAGGAACAUCUGUGGCGAAGGCGGCCACCUGGACCAGCACUGACACUGAUGCACGAAAGCGUGGGGAGCAAACAGGAUUAGAAACCCUAGUAGUCC